rnacentral:rRNA from 1 species
AGCGAACGCUUGCGACGUGCCUAAGAAAUGCAAGUCGAGCGAGGUAGCAAUACCUAGCGGCGAACGGUCGCGUAACACGUAAGCAACCUGCCCCAAAGACCGGGACAACGUUCCGAAAGGAGCGCUAAUACCGGAUGUGCCCUGCGAGUGACAUCGCUUGACAGAGUAAAUCGAGCAAUCGGCUUUGGGAGGGGCUUGCGGCCUAUCAGCUAGAUGGUGGGGUAACGCCACCAUGGCGACGACGGGUAGCUGGUCUGAGAGGAUGGUCAGCCGGAUUGGGACUGAGAUACGG